GAUAAGUGCUGAAAGCAUCUAAGCAUGAAGCCCCCCUCAAGAUGAGAUUUCCCAUAGCGUAAGCUAGUAAGAUCCCUGAAAGAUGAUCAGGUUGAUAGGUUCGAGGUGGAAGCAUGGUGACAUGUGGAGCUGACGAAUACUAAUAGAUCGAGGACUUAACCA
rnacentral:rRNA from 1 species